rnacentral:rRNA from 1 species
CCAGACUCCUACGGGAGGCAGCAGUGAGGAAUAUUGGUCAAUGGGCGGGAGCCUGAACCAGCCAAGUCGCGUGAGGGAAGACGGUCCUAUGGAUUGUAAACCUCUUUAGGCGGGGAACAAUGCCGGGCACGUGUGCCCGGAGGGAGAGUACCCGCAGAAUAAGCAUCGGCUAACUCCGUGCCAGCAGCCGCGGUAAUACGUAUGGUGCAAGCGUUAUCCGGAUUUACUGGGCGUAAAGGGAGCGCAGGCGGCGCGCCAAGUCUGAUGUGAAACCCCGGGGCUCAACCCCGGGCAUGCAUUGGAAACUGGCGGGCUGGAGUGCCGGAGAGGUAAGCGGAAUUCCUAGUGUAGCGGUGAAAUGCGUAGAUAUUAGGAGGAACACCAGUGGCGAAGGCGGCCUGCUGGACUGCGACUGACGUUGAGGCCCGAAAGCGUGGGGAGCAAACAGGAUUAGAUACCCCAGUA